GACUAGCUCAGCGGUAGAGCAUCUGCCUGCAUGCAGAAGAUUCCAAAUUCAAUGCCUGGCAUCUCCA